rnacentral:lncRNA from 1 species
GGACUAUCAAGAUGAAAUCAGUCUACUACUCCACAACAGAGCUGGGUUCCUCCAGUGAUCGAAACAUGGCUACCAACAGUCUCCAGAAACACCUCUUCCAACCCGAGGAGUGAGCGUCUCCUCCCCAGCCACUGGGCAGAGUUCUAGGAUUCCCUCUGAUUGGACCAUGUUGAUCAUGUGCCUUUCCUGGGGCUGGGGACUGUCCUACGUUGAUUGGCUUAGAUCUGGCUUAUGCGCUGGUUCCUGAAAUAAACACCGUGUCAAGAGUAGGAUAUACUUGCAGUUUAAUUUAGCCAAACCUGGACCUAUGCUGGAGCUGAGGAUGGAGCAAAUACCAGCAAAACUGCCUAAAUGUUCCCCAGUGCUGUGGGGGUGGAACGGACGCUGAGAAGCUCACCCUAAUAUCCAAUUCACCAUGGAAAAAAGACAGGAAGGAUAUACAGCAAAGUGCCCACGACAGUUAUUUUCAAGUGGUGAUAUUAUGGGGAAUUUUUAUUUUCUUUUUUACGCUUAUCUGUAUUUUACAUUUUUGACAACAAGCAUAUAUUACUUGAAUAACUUCAAAGAGAAAUGAAAGCUAUAAAUAUGAAGAAAAGCUGGUAUAUAACACUAGCAAGUAAUUAACAGCUUGAGGGAUUUAAAGCAGACGUGUUGGCAAACAGGAAACAUGAAUUUUCAGAAUGGUACCAACGGUGCCUUGCAGAAGCUUCCAACUGCCUUUCUCUUGCCCCUGUUAGGCAAUUCCGUCGUUUCUACAGACUUAAUCUGAGAUCUCUGAAGGCUAGUCUGGCUUAAAACUACCAGUUUCAGCGGCUUGCAAUUUUCUCUUAUAUUUGGGUGGGGAAGAUUUUUCAGUUUUCCCUUAGAGACACUUUCCCUUGUGGGGCAUGAUAGUGUGUUCCUCGUUGCAGAAGGACCCCUGUAUGCAGAAGUAGAGGCGCUGGCCUCAGGCUCCUCCACUUCCUCUUGGACAGAAGACGCUGAGCAUUUUUUCAGGAAGUGGUCACCCCAGUGGUCCCCGGCUUUCUCAGACUUCCUGCAGCUCUCUACACAGUGAAUCACAGUGAGACACUGGCAGCAGGCACCACGGAAGGGACCCUCAAAUCUGAAGGCUCAAGGUCCUGGGAAAAGAUGAAGUGGAGCAUGCCUCUUGUUUCCUCCUAUUAGAUGCUGAGUGUUGGAAGUUCUUCCUAGGAUUCACAAAGAAACUCCUGCUCUUCUUCCACAUACUUUUUCCUGGGAAAGAAAACUUGUUUCACUGGCAGAAAAGAUCCCCACUGUUAAAGUGAGGUAAAGAAGAUUCUUGCUUCCUCUUUACGCGUCCGCCAUGAUUGUAAGUUUCCUGAGGCUUCCCCAGCCAUGCUGAACUG